UACCCCGACCUCCCCUGCUCCUCUGGACCCUAAGGUUGAAGGACAAGGAAGAUAAGUUACAUCCCUCAUCACUGUUUCCUGAAGAAAUACGAACUGGACAACAAAAUGAUGGAAGAUUGGCAGAAAGAGUGAUCAGUGACGUGUUGAGCCGCUGGACCGAUGAUUGAGCCUCCGUGCUGUGAGGAGCCACCUUUGACACAGGCUGCAUGUCAGGUCUAAUCGGUAUCCUUAAAAACACUCCGCUUCUCUUGGGCCAGGACCUGUUUCUAGAGUGAUGUUGUGGCACAUAAAGAUGAAAGGUGAUUUAGAAUGUGUGAGGCUGCACUUUGGCUUUGUUCAUGACAAGAUGGUGGGCGAGAGAAACCAUUGUACCACAUGUUGGAGUAAGCGAGUGAGUGAG